GGUUGCAAUAUCGAAACAGCUCAUGCCGAAGUCAAUACAUGAUACCGGAUAAAACAAUAUUGACUGAUACAAUUUUGAUCAUUUAGAGUGUGCUAUCUCUAACGAUCGGAUUUCAUGUGAACCAAAAGGCUGUGUGCUAUGCAUGUAUCAGUCGGAAAUAUUUACGUUUGAAUUCAUAUCACAAAAUGAUGUUGCAUCCAGUCGAAUGAAGAUGGCAUCGAUGCUAUAAUCUGCAUGGCACAUAGAAGCAUUAAUCUAUGUUCUUGAAUUCGUAGAACGUACAUACAAUAACACUGUCCAAACACUGUGCCAGUCCUUUGAGAACAUGAAUGCUGAGGGUUACAAUCAAACAGACACGACAAGUGAAAACACGGCACUGCGUGUUACCUUCUCGAAGGAAGAGGCUUAUUGUCUCCCGCCAGUGUUAGUUUUGCAUCUUUGGGUCCCAUUGCAAGAAGGCUGGCAUAACGCUAGAGAAUUUGACCUGAUUCUGGAAAGGCUUCUAGCUAUACAAAGCGAUACAUGCACGGUCAUUGUUGUAUUAUUUGCAGUAUCUCACGUAUGGCUCUCUCAGAUCACGGGACAACAAGUUGGGGCAUUGAGCAAAUUUGUAUACUUUGUGUUAAAUCCCCCGUAUAACAUCACAAACAUAUAACGUAUAUCCUACUUGGACAUUGUUGGGAAAUGGUAGGGGACGUUGAAAUUGCCGAGAUGGCGUAUCGCGAAUCUGCUGCACUUAGUCCUGAGCGCAAUUCAGCCUUAAAACAUAUUCGAAGGAUCGAAGAAUUAUUGAAUGCUUGACAUAUUUUCGCGCUAUAGUUUGUGAAGUAAAGAAUAGUUUGGGUUUAGUAAUGGUAAAAUUUGAAUCUAUAUAUCUGUAUGUUGUUUUUUAGUUUGGUUGCACUGAAUAUGAUAUUUAUGUUGGUUUCCAUUGUUCGUGAUCUGAAUGCAUUAUGCGAGUGUGACAGAUAAAGAUUGACUCUUUAAACCCUCACAAUAAACAAUAAACAUAUACAUGUUAUGCUGUGUAUUUGUGGGAAGCACUCAAACCUAUGUUACCGUACAACGCGAAAUGUUCGUUUAAAAACACCCAAACACAUUGCUUCAUUUUACACGUUUAUAAAGAUAAAUCCCUUCAAAAUCGACCCCAUGGACCCAAUUUAGUAAAUGUUUUGUUAUCGUUGUUUUCUUCUUCUUAUUAUUAUCUAUUAUUUGUUAGUGGGUGUGCAGGGAGGUGAAAGGGUUUUAAAUACAUUUAAUUUUUCUGACAAAAGUAAAGAAGCAGCCCAUGCAACUGUAUUUAUAUGAAAAGUAUGUUAUAUUGUUUAAUGUUUAAUUGUUUGACUCGUUUUAUAUUGCAUAUUUUGUCUUGGAAAUCGGAUUGAUGUAUAACUCAUGGAAAUAUUUUCUUGAUUGAUAUUUUCCACGCUUAUUGUUGCGAAUCUUUGUUGUGAACAUACUUAUGACUUAAAUGUUUAUGUUCAUAUAACCAACUUGUCAAUACUUGGAAUGUUUCUUAAUUUGGUAUCAAUAAGGUCAAGUGAAAAAGAUAAUAGUAAGCACUAUUAAAAAGUAUAUUUAACUUUAAGUUACAGUCUUAACUCUAACAAACUAGGCGUACGUCUUGUCGUUUUGGUAUGUCUAAGAACAUUGAAUACCCUAUGUGGGAUAGAGUGAGUAUAUUUGUCUGAUUUUGCAUACGGAAAAGAUUGAAGAGUUUAGAAGGCUCACUCCCUGUAGGACUAAGUGUUGACAUUACGGUGUUCUAAGUGCUCAUAUUACCGUAACACGUCAUUGCGAUUGUUAUUUACGCACACAGAUAAUGGUUUAAUUGAUAUAGUCUACAUCGCACUCGUGUAUUACAAUAUUGCAAUUUGUAGAGCAUUUAAUUUUGCGUUGCCUCAAAUUUUGAUAUAAAUAAAAUAACAAUUGUUUAGUCGGGGGUUGUCGCCAUGAUUGUCUUCUUUUCUGUUUACUAUAAUAACAUAUCUGGAUACCAUAGCAUUCUCACCAACAUACACAUUGAACGACAUGUCAUGUAAAUGUCUUAUAAAUACAAGCCAAUGUUAUUUUUGCAAUAAAGCAAGUACGAAUUUUAAAACUAACAUAUUAUUGUGUCAUCUAUUUGUAAUGUUAAUAUUUAAAUACCCAUGUGCAAUUCAAAUAAACUAAACUUGUUAUAUUUAGGGUAAAACAUGUUCACAUUACAUUCAUUAACGCUUGCUUAUCAUUCUCUAUAAUAAAGUGAUCGUCGAUUAUUCAUAUUAAUAUUAAAUCUUUAUCAACUAUUUUACAUGAACUUACACCGUGUUUGCAUUAUUUGCAGAUUGAAGCUUUAAGAGCACGGCGAGACUUUAGACACAAAUUUCGGGUUUCGUCAAGCCUUUUUAAUUUACUUUGCAUAUGUAUCUCUAGCAUUUUUUUACCAAGUGUAGUAUGUGGUAUGAAUAACAAUGAACGUUAAUAUGCUUUUUUGCUUAUAACGUGUUUGGAUGAAGGCAGUACGCUGGCAUUUUGUGUGUACAUAGCGAACAGGCAGACAUAUGUAAGCAUCGCACAAUUUAUUAAAUUGUUGUUAGCAAAACA